GUGUGUGAUCAUAAUACAAACGUUAAUGCAUUGGAUACCAUCAGAACUCCAGAUUUAAACUCACUUGGGGUAGAGUAGUACUGGGAUGGGUGACCUCUUGGAAGUUCUAGUAUUGCACCCU
rnacentral:rRNA from 1 species